rnacentral:rRNA from 1 species
UACGUAGGGUGCAAGCGUUGUCCGGAAUUAUUGGGCGUAAAGAGCUCGUAGGCGGUCUGUCGCGUCUGCUGUGAAACUCGGGGCUUAGCCCGGGCCUGCAGUGGGUACGGGCAGACUAGAGUGCGGUAGGGGAGACUGGAAUUCCUGGUGUAGCGGUGAAAUGCGCAGAUAUCAGGAGGAACACCGGUGGCGAAGGCGGGUCUCUGGGCCGAUACUGACGCUGAGGAGCGAAAGCGUGGGGAGCGAACAGG